GGUGAUGAGGCGUGAAUUGUCGUUCUUGGUUAGAGCGGAUGGCUUCAUGUUGGGCAAGUAGACGAAUCUGCCUUUUGGGGUUGAUGUGACUAUCAAGCCCUCUUGCGGGCCUGAUAAAGGAGUCUCCUUGUUCGGAUUCGAGUAGUAGUCGAGAUCCUUAAUCUCAUCCGUAUCGAAUUGCGAUCUGGACAAGGCCACAUGGUAAACAGUGGCUGCGUUGUGGAGUCCGAACGGGAAUCGACUUGGGAAGUAGUCCGACUCGCACAAUGGCUGCUGCGACGGCUCAUGCAAAUCAAUCCAACUGGC
rnacentral:lncRNA from 1 species